CAGACGCCGAACAUCGUGCGGGGACGGUCGCUGAGGAAGGAGGACGACGUUGUCGUUGUGAACCUCGUGAAUGCACGUUGCCAGUGUUUUUUGAUGCCAGCUGGUUACUGAUGGGUGGACAUGGUUCCUUCGUAUGUUGUUUCAAUGUGUUUUGUUGCGAGCUGAGUGAUGGGUGCACAUGGUUCCUUCGAAUGUUCAUUUGAAAAACUGAAAGUGUUUUGAUGCGGGAGCUGACUGAUGGGUGCACAUGGUUCCUUCUGUUUUGAUACCAGAGCUGACUGAUGGGUGCACAUGGUUCCUUCGUAUGUUCUUCCUUUGAAAAAAUAAACGGCGAGUAUAACUGCAUGUCAGUUGCUCUGCUCUCUGUAACAGUUUCCUGUCUCUUUGCAGUGUUUUG